AUGACCUAACAUCUUGCACCAAGAUGUAUAACAUUCUAUCAUUUCCCAACUAUAUAUUUGGGAUUGACUCAGGAAGUAUUAUUCAAUUGACAUGGUCCAAAUCAGCAUGUGGAUUGUGUGAAGCUCGCGGAGGAACGUGUGAAUUGAAGAGUGAUCGCACUGAAUCGUGCAACAUGAGUCAUCAGAGCCGAAGAAACAGAGGUUCCUCAACCAAGUUAAUAAUUGCAG
rnacentral:misc_RNA from 1 species